UACGGAGGGUGCAAGCGUUAUCCGGAUUCACUGGGUUUAAAGGGUGCGUAGGCGGACAGGUAAGUCAGUGGUGAAAUCUCUGGGCUUAACCCAGAAACUGCCGUUGAUACUAUUUGUCUUGAAUAUCCUGGAGUUAGGCGGAAUAUGUCAUGUAGCGGUGAAAUGCUUAGAUAUGACAUAGAACACCGAUAGCGAAGGCAGCUUACUACAGGAUGAUUGACGCUGAGGCACGAAAGCGUGGGGAGCAAACAGG
rnacentral:rRNA from 1 species